GACGAACGCUGGCGGCGUGCCUAAUACAUGCAAGUCGAGCGAAUCGAUGGGAGCUUGCUCCCUGAGAUUAGCGGCGGACGGGUGAGUGACACGUGGGUAACCUGCCUGUAAGACUGGGAUAACUUCGGGAAACCGGAGCUAAUACCGGAUACUUUCUUUUCUCGCAUGAGGGAAGAUGGAAAGAUGGUUCUGCUAUCACUUACAGAUGGACCCGCGGCGCAUUAGCUAGUUGGUGAGGUAACGGCUCACCAAGGCAACGAUGCGUAGCCGACCUGAGAGGGUGAUCGGCCACACUGGGACUGAGACACGGCCCAGACUCCUACGGGAGGCAGCAGUAGGGAAUCUUCCGCAAUGGACGAAAGUCUGACGGAGCAACGCCGCGUGAGCGAAGAAGGCCUUCGGGUCGUAAAGCUCUGUUGUUAGGGAAGAACAAGUACGAGAGUAACUGCUCGUACCUUGACGGUACCUCACCAGAAAGCCCCGGCUAACUACGUGCCAGCAGCCGCGGUAACAC
rnacentral:rRNA from 1 species